rnacentral:lncRNA from 1 species
GCCAGGAGGCCGCUGUUACCCCAGGUGCAUGACCCUGGCAGACAGUGCUUCAACCCUGAGGCCCAGCUCCAGCCCUUCCUCCCCUGCUGCUUCUCCAGCCUUCCUGUUCCAUGGCCGGGCAGCUUGUCCUCUUCUCCACUGAGUCCAGUCUCUGCAUGAAGCAGAUCUUAAGCACAGCAUUUUCAUCUUUCUGUUCAUCACCCUGGAAUGGGUGCAGAUUCCCCAGUGCCUGAGCAAGAUGACUUCAGGGACUUUCUAGGCAAGACCGUGCCUUUUCCUUCUGAGAGAAAUAAAAUGAGCCGAAUCAUGAACACCCAAGGCAAGGCUUUUAUCAAAGGACAGAGCUAUCGGGCUGUCUGGAACAACGUCAAGAGCGGCAACCUGGGGCUGGCUGGGGAAGGUGAGCGAGCAUGGGGGUUCCCCUCCAUUCCCUGGGGUCAUCAGGUGGAGCUGCGGUGGCAUGGCCAGCUGCCAGGGCAUGCCUGUCAUGGUGAGCAGCAAAGCUGUCGUCUUGGUGACUUUGGAAGCCUCGGGAGGAAGCACUCAGGGUACAAGUCCCAAGUGGAUUUACAGGACUUCUGGAGCCCACACUACCCAAGAAAUAAAUCGUGAACAGGUUUACAGGACCUCCAAGGCGGCCGGCCUAUGGGAGAAGAACUAACCAGACAGAGCUGCUCAAGACCCUUUCCAGCUGGGCAACCCAUAGGAACAGAAACGAAGGUGGCUCGAGCCUGGGGUUAAACCGGCAGAAUCACGGUUAGCCACCCUGCGGCCGGAGCCCAGAGAACUGGGCUGUUCUGGAUGAGUUAUGCUGCCUAGCAGAUCACCCAAACCUCACAGCUUAAAAGCACGAUACCUGCAUUGUCUUAGUUUCUGAGUCAGAGAUCCACGCACAGCUGACUGGGGCACCUUUCUCUCUUUCACAGUGCGGAAUCACAUUGGCAGCCCCGGGCGGGUCUUAGCGGGAGAAUCUGCCUCCAAGACCCAGCCCUUGCAGACCGAGGCCAGCUUCCAGCAUGGCUGUGACUGGCCAAGGGUCACUCAUUCCCACGCUUUCCAACACAGCUGGGUGCAAGCCAAGGAGGCAAGCAGCAGAGUCAAUCUUUUCCAAGCUCUCUGUGGAAUGGAUGUCACUUAUCCAUGCCCUGUGCCAUAUUUUAUUGGUUAGAAACAACUCAUUAGGCGCGCACCCUGGGGGAGGUGGCUACAUAAUAAGCCCAGGAACACAGGAAGUAGAUCACGGAGGGAUGCCUGAGAAGUCUGCCUACCACAGUGUCUUCAGCCCCUGGUUACAGCAGGUGCUCAAUAAUGUUCGUCAUUUUGGAUUUUGGUGUUCCUACCACAACAGGACUAGUUGGAAAAUUGCACUACAAAAAUAAUAAACUUCAGGGCCGGGGAUUUAGCUCAGUGGUUCCACAGCCUGCUUUGCAAGGACAAGGACCUGAGUUUGUUCGCCGGUACCAAAAAUAAAUAAAUAAAUAAACUUCAGGUGUUAGAGGGGGCUGAUCUGAUGGGAAAUUCUGUUCUCUCUGGGGGACAAAUUCACCAGGAAUUCAGUCCUGUCCUCAUGGCUGGACUGUCCUGGGGGUGAGCCUAUAUCCUUUACCUCAACACCUUCAACAUUUAGCAGAGCCUCCUCAACACAUGAAAGGAGCUUGGAGAGCAUGGAAUGGAUUAUGGAUGGAGGAAUGGUCAAGAGAACGAUAAACUCUCUACUCCUCAGACACCCUCUGUCCACCAACCAGGAUAUACUUUUUUUUGGUGUGUGUGCUGGUGGGAAUUGAACCCAGAGCCUUGGGCAUACUAGGCAAAUGCUGUACACUGAGCUGGGCCCUCGGCACCAGGCUCCAGGUUUAACAAAACAUGGACUUUGAAAAGUGGGCACAGAAAGGGGAAAUCUACUACUUCACUAACAGUUUUUUUGACUGAACAGGUGUCAACAAGGCUUUCCCCAUGUUGGCCCUGGGUGUUUUCAUCUCUCAAUCAUACUUUUCAAAAUCCUAAUCUGAGAAAAAUCUAUAUUAUGAACAAAUAGAAACUGUACCAAGUAAAAUCUGAGCAUGCCAUAAUGGUCAGAAGGAGUCUUCCCGGCCCAGGCCCUGGGCAAAUGGGAUUUAGAAUCUCGAUUAUCUGUAGAUGUUUAGUAGAAAGAACUGAGGCACUGAAUGUACUCUAAGGAGUUGUGUUGCGCUUGUGGCUUUUAUCCGGAUAUCCCCCAAAAGCCUUGAGUGCUCACAGACUGGGCUUUGGAGGAUGGCAAUCAGGGGCUGAUGUCGCCCUUGUUGCUAGGAGACUGGGUUGCUAGGAGACCGGGUUGGCUCAGAAGAGGUGGGCUUGCUGGGGGUGACAUGGAGGGGGUGAACCCCCCUCCUACCCUCCCCUGCUUCCUCACCACCAUGACGUGAGCAGCUUUCCUGCCACCAGGCCAUGUCUGUGUUUCCUCCUGCCAAUCAUGGACUGAAACUUCUGAAACUAUGAGCCAAAAUAAACCUCUACUCCUUUGAG